AGGACAAAAUGGAACCAAAACAUCAUUCUCCAUUAUCGUUAGAUGCCAUAUUUUCAGCAAAAGAAAAAAGAAAGUAACAGAAAAAACAAAAGGCAGAAAAGUCAAGUAAUCACAUAAAUUGAUGUUAAAACGGGGAGAUCAACUUUUAUCAUAAAAUCAUCUGCUUACAAGGCAUACCGGGCAAACGAUGACUUUGGAAACUUUUGCCCACGCCAAAAACGAGGUGAAGCCCAAAGUUCGGGGUAAAGAGGAUGUUCAAUGCCCGCUUGUCACAAGGAACACCAAAGAUGUCGAUAGAAAAUAGGAAAUUGACGCAAUGAUGAACAUUUUAUGGCAUGACAGACAAUAUUUAUGAAAUCUUAUUAGCGAAA
rnacentral:sRNA from 1 species